rnacentral:lncRNA from 1 species
AAGCCCUCGUCAGAAACAAACACUCAAAAAGGCUUAUUUUAGGAUCAGGAGGACUCUGAGGAUUUGUUUUCUUCUCAAAGUGCGAGUAACUUAAAAGGUGCGUCUCUGCUGCCUGGCAAGCUCCCCACGUCGGUUUCCCUGUUUGAUGAUGAAGAUGAAGAGGAUAAUCUUUUUGGGGGUACAGCUGCUAAGAAGCAGACAUUGUCUCUACAAGCUCAAAGACAAGAGAAAGCAAAAGCCUCCAAGCUCUCCAAAAAGAAAGCA